rnacentral:rRNA from 1 species
GACGAACGCUGGCGGCGUGCUUAACACAUGCAAGUCGAACGGAAAGGCCCUGCUUUUGUGGGGUGCUCGAGUGGCGAACGGGUGAGUAACACGUGAGUAACCUGCCCUUGACUUUGGGAUAACUUCAGGAAACUGGGCUAAUACCGGAUAGGAGCUCCUGCUGCAUGGUUGGGGUUGGAAAGUUUCGGCGGUUGGGGAUGGACUCGCGGCUUAUCAGCUUGUUGGUGGGGUAGUGGCUUACCAAGGCUUUGACGGGUAGCCGGCCUGAGAGGGUGACCGGCCACAUUGGGACUGAGAUACGGCCCAGACUCCUACGGGAGGCAGCAGUGGGGAAUAUUGCACAAUGGGCGGAAGCCUGAUGCAGCAACGCCGCGUGCGGGAUGACGGCCUUCGGGUUGUAAACCGCUUUCGCCUGUGACGAAGCGUGAGUGACGGUAAUGGGUAAAGAAGCACCGGCUAACUACGUG